GCUGGGCAUGGUGGAGCACACCUGUAAUCCUAGCAACUCAGGAGGCUGAGGCAGUAGGAUUGCAAGUUUGAUUCCAGCCUCAGGAAUUUAGCAAGGCCCUAAACAACUUAGUGAGACCCUGUCUCAA
rnacentral:sRNA from 1 species